GCGGAGCCAGGGCUGGGCUGGGCUGGGCUGGGCUGGGUGCUGCCGAGGAGGGGGCUGCU
rnacentral:miRNA from 1 species